rnacentral:rRNA from 1 species
GCAUAUCAAUAAGCGGAGGAAAAGAAACCAACAGGGAUUGCCCUAGUAACGGCGAGUGAAGCGGCAACAGCUCAAAUUUGAAAUCUGGCGCAAGCCCGAGUUGUAAUUUGUAGAGGAUGCUUCUAGGUAGCGACCGGUCUAAGUUCCUUGGAACAGGACGUCAUAGAGGGUGAGAAUCCCGUAUGUGACCGGCCCGCACCUUCUACGUAGCUCCUUCGACGAGUCGAGUUGUUUGGGAAUGCAGCUCUAAAUGGGAGGUAAAUUUCUUCUAAAGCUAAAUACCGGCCAGAGACCGAUAGCGCACAAGUAGAGUGAUCGAAAGAUGAAAAGCACUUUGGAAAGAGAGUUAAAAAGCACGUGAAAUUGUUGAAAGGGAAGCGCUUACAACCAGACUUCUGGGCGGUGUUCCGCCGGUCUUCUGACCGGUCUACUCGCCGUCCCGAGGCCAACAUCAUCUGGGACCGCUGGAUAAGACCUCAGGAAUGUAGCUCCCCUCGGGGAGUGUUAUAGCCUGUGGUGAUGCAGCGCGUCUCGGGUGAGGUCCGCGCUUCGGCAAGGAUGUUGGCGUAAUGGUUGUCAGCGGCCCGUCUUGAAACACGGACCAAGGAGUCUAACAUCUAUGCGAGUGUUCGGGUGUCAAACCCCUACGCGUAAUGAAAGUGAACGGAGGUGGGAAGCGCAAGCUGCACCAUCGACCGAUCCUGAUGUCCUCGGAUGGAUUUGAGUAAGAGCAUAGCUGUUGGGACCCGAAAGAUGGUGAACUAUGCCUGAAUAGGGUGAAGCCAGAGGAAACUCUGGUGGAGGCUCGCAGCGGUUCUGACGUGCAAAUCGAUCGUCAAAUUUGGGUAUAGGGGGCGAAAGACUAAUCGAACUAUCUAGUAGCUGGUUUCCUGCCGAAG